AUUACUCCUACGGGAGGCAGCAGUUGGGAAUCUUGCACAAUGGGGGAAACCCUGAUGCAGCGACGCCGCGUGGAGGAUGACGGCCCUAGGGUUGUAAACUCCUUUUUCAGGGAAAGACUUAGGACGGUACCCUGAGAAUAAGCUCCGGCUAACUACGUGCCAGCAGCCGCGGUAAUAAU
rnacentral:rRNA from 1 species